rnacentral:pre_miRNA from 1 species
UCUCAUGAAUGAUCAAAGAAUGUGGCUUCCUGAGAUGGAAUCUACUCCUGCUGAAGAUACUGUGAA